GUGCUUCUGGCGGAAUUGGCAGACGCGGCGGACUUAAAAUCCGCUGUUCAUUGGACAACUAAGGGUUCGAGUCCCUUGAAGCACACUA
rnacentral:tRNA from 2 species